rnacentral:tRNA from 3 species
UCCGGCGUAGCUCAAUGGUAGAGUAGGUGACUGUUAAUCACUUGGUUGCUGGUUCGAGCCCAGCCGCCGGAGCCA